rnacentral:rRNA from 1 species
GAUGAACGCUGGCGGCGUGCUUAACACAUGCAAGUCGAACGGAAAGGCUCCUGCUUGCAGGGGUACUCGAGUGGCGAACGGGUGAGUAACACGUGGGUGAUCUGCCCUGCACUUCGGGAUAAGCCUGGGAAACUGGGUCUAAUACCGGAUAGGACCACAUUUUGGAUGGUGUGGUGGAAAGUUUUUCGGUGUGGGAUGAGCUCGCGGCCUAUCAGCUUGUUGGUGGGGUAAUGGCCUACCAAGGCGUCGACGGGUAGCCGGCCUGAGAGGGUGUACGGCCACAUUGGGACUGAGAUACGGCCCAGACUCCUACGGGAGGCAGCAGUGGGGAAUAUUGCACAAUGGGCGCAAGCCUGAUGCAGCGACGCCGCGUGGGGGAUGACGGCCUUCGGGUUGUAAACUCCUUCGCUAGGGACGAAGCGCAAGUGACGGUACCUGGAGAAGAAGCACCGGCUAACCACGUG